AGCCUUCUGGUCUUACCACAGGCACUGUUCUUACACUGACUAUAUAGAAAAAGGAGGAAGAGUAAACCUGCUCCACAUAUACCUCAGCCCAGGCCUUCUGCCUUAUCUGUAUUGUGAAGGAGGAAAAAAAA
ensembl:snoRNA small nucleolar RNA SNORA51